rnacentral:rRNA from 1 species
UACAGAGGUCUCAAGCGUUGUUCGGAUUCAUUGGGCGUAAAGGGUGCGUAGGCGGCGCGGUAAGUCGGGUGUGAAAUCUCGGAGCUUAACUCCGAAACUGCACUUGAUACUGCAGUGCUCGAGGACUGGAGAGGAGAUUGGAAUUCAUGGUGUAGCAGUGAAAUGCGCAGAUAUCAGGAGGAACACCAACGGCGAAGGCAGCUCGCUGGGACGGUACUGACACUGAGGCGCGAAAGCGUGGGGAGCGAACAGG